rnacentral:tRNA from 1 species
CAUUAAAUGACUGAAA